CCUGCAGCACUAUUCAUUACAGCAACAUCAGCACUGGCAGCAACAUCAGCGUAACUUCACUGGUUAAAGACUGCCAAAAUCAGGAGUUUCACCACAGAAUAAGAAAACAGACAUUUUCAAAUGAAUCUUCAUUCUUCCGAAAAAUGCAAGACAACAGGACUAAAAAGCCUGAAAUCAAUGGUCCAGUUCCAUUACAAACCCGGCAAGCAUAAAGGUUACCAUGGCAACAAGCUAGCAAUGAAGGAUAUAGCAUACAAGAAGAGGACGACAACUCCAGAUGUUUCUUCAAGGUCAUCCAUUAAGUCGACAUAUUUCAAUGUCAGCGACACAUUGUGAUCUGGUGCUGCAGUUGUAUGGGGGCCCUGAGACCAAAAAGGAAGGCAGUGUUACUACUACAGUGACUGCUGUAUUGAGCUUUGCAUAUAAUAAAGUAACUUACCAACAGCAAGCUGA